GGAGAUGGUGGUGGGUGGGAGCCGCCAACUGGAGGGACCCCAGCUUAGUGCCCUGAGGGGAAGUGAACCCCGACCGGAAGCGCUCUCUGGCUGUGCUGGCUCUUCUCUGCCGCCGCUCUCAUUCCCUGCCCCGUGCCCCGGAGCCUGGUCCCUGAAGAUUGCCCGUCCUGGGCUUCCUUGCACUGUCUUCUGCUUGGGUGUGGCCCAUGGGAGGUACCAGCCAGAAGAUGAAAACUGGAAAAUCCACGGACAUCACUCCAGCCUCCCUGGCCUCUCCUUGUCACAUCGGGGCCACCAGGCCUGCCGCCAUUCACAGGCUCAAGCUUGCUCCGGUCUGUCAUCAGGAGGCAGUUAUGGAACCGAGUCUAGCACCUCGGCGCCCAGGACAGCCUACAGAAAGCAGGACUGA
rnacentral:lncRNA from 1 species